GAGCGAAAACUUUGCAAUGCGUGAAAGCGUGACAAGGGGAUUCCAAGUGCUUGCACAUUGUGCAAGCUUUUGCCAAGAGUAAAGUCCUUGGCGAAUAAGUGGUGGGCAAGACCGGUGCCAGCCGCCGCGGUAACACCGGCGCCACAAGUGGGGGCCAUGAUUAUUGGGCCUAAAGCGUCCGUAGCAGGUUCUGUAAAUCUCUUGUGAAAUCGUACGGCUCAACCGUACGGCGCGCAGGGGAGACUGCAGAACUAGGGACCGGGAGGAGGCAGAGGUAUUCCUUGGGGAGCGGUAAAAUGCUAUAAUCCUCGGAAGACCACCUGUGGCGAAGGCGUCUGCCAAGAACGGAUCCGACUGUGAGGGACGAAAGCUGGGGGAGCGAUCCGG
rnacentral:rRNA from 1 species